rnacentral:pre_miRNA from 11 species
AGAAUGAGAAAACGGAACCCAUCGUCCAUGCUUUGGCGCUUUAGCUGUAUGAUAGAAUUUAAUAUUUCAUAAAGCUAGAUUACCAAAGCAUGGAAGGCUUGGGCGGUGUCGUCCCUCUAA